rnacentral:tRNA from 1 species
GCUCGGUUAACUCAGUUGGUUAGAGUGUCGUACUAAUAUUAUAAGAAAUUGUAAUAAUUGUAAUGCGAAAGUCAUGAGUUCGACCCUCAUACUGAGCA